rfam:Bacteroides sp. CAG:927 genomic scaffold, scf24
GCAGCCGGGCAUUUCGUCGCUCACCGAUGAAUAUGCGGUGUGAGGAAAGUCCGGGCAACACAGAGCACCAUAUUUCUUAACGGGAAGCUGUGGGUGACCGCAGAGUAGUGUGACAGAAAAUAACCGCCGCGGCCUUUUAGGCCAGGUAAGGGUGAAAAGGUGAGGUAAGAGCUCACCGGGCCGCACAGCAAUGUGCGGUGCCGCAUGCCUUAUGGGUUGCAAGGCCAAGUACACCGACAUUCAAGGGCUGCUCGUCCAUUGUCGGGGGGUAGGCUGCUUAAGCCUUGCAGGUGACUGCAGGCUCAGAUAAAUGACGAAACGUCGUGGUGUCCCCGUGAAAGGGAAGUGCCAUGGCCGACAUAACCCGGCUUAUCGCCCGGCUGCUUUU